rnacentral:sRNA from 17 species
GUAACCGUCCAUAAAUAACUUAGGCAACUAAGUGAUUUUAAGGUUACCCGCUUUAGUUCUUCAGAACUCCGUUAGGGACGAAAAUAUAGGCACUCUUGUGAUGCAUCUCCAGUCCAAGACCCUGCG